UAGGUUGCACAUCAUGUAGAGCAAGCAGGGGCUUCCACCACUUCAGAGGAGUGCCAUUUUAUCUUUUUUAUUUAUGUUUGAAUCAUUUAAAAACCAAGGUAUCAGCUAAACAUGUCUUACACGGCUAAGCAGUAAAAGUUUGCUUGAGGAGAUGAGCUUUUAAUAAGGGCUGACAGGUUGUCUUGGAAGCCGAGACAAGCCUGAAAAUCUUCUUUUUGUAAGCUUUGCGGAUUAUAAAGACAAAGGAGGAUGGCAAUAUUCGCAUGAAACAGCUUUGUUACCCCCCACCCCAUCCUGCCCAUCAACUGACUCCAUUCUUCAACUUGACAUCAUCCCUCCACACAGACAAGAAGAAGAAGAAGAGGAGAAGAGAGAAGCAGAGGUGGGGAGGCAAACAGACGGAAAGAGGAGGAAGAGAGGAGAGGAGGUGGGCAGCACACUUUCAGCUCUCACAAGGCUGAGGAGGAGAAAGUGACAGCAGCUAGAACUUGGCCACUAGUGAGAUGAAAUUGGAGAGGAGACGCUGCAGCGCUUGAGGAGACGACAUCCAAAGAGAGCCCUAAAAUUGGACCGCCUGGAAGACAAGCCAGCCGUCUCUGGAUCCCGUCCACCACCCCCCCACAGCAGAAGGAUGAGAGGGGUCGACUUUCACCUUAGUGGCCAGGGAUGUCUGUGCACUACGGGAAGGCAUCCCCUUCCAGCAUGUCCAAUGCUAUGUUACUCCUGAUGCUUUGCAAGAUUGGUCUGAGAAGAAAACUGCAGACUUUUCCAGGGAAAAUGGUAAACACUCUCUACAGUGAUGAGGAAAGGGAAUCCAAGACAAGGAAGUAAGGAGGAGACCAUCUUGGCCAUGUUGGGCAUCAUUGGACCAUUCUCAACUUGGUAGUCAUCAUUUUUGUCUACAUCUACACCACCCUUGUAGGUUUUGAACUCUUAUUGUACUUCCUCAGUGGACAGAGCAGGGUACAUUUGAGCUGUUUCUGCUACAGUAUGUUGACUGAAAAGCAGAAAAAGAUGGGAGGAAAAAGGAAGAGGAUGAACUGUGCUGCUGGCAUAUGGCACCAAUCCUGCAUCACUUCAAACAGCUGACACUUUAGGAAACUGGCUUGUUCCUCCCCCUUUACAGGUAAAAUUAUCCAGAAUUUCUGGUCAUUUUGACUUGUAUAUAAAUGCAUGAAGCAAAGGAGAGACACUUGAAAGAUGAGCGCUUUCACCAACACAUGGACUUAAGACAGAAGGCAGAGUGGACAUUUUUGGGUAAUACUUUUCAGAUGUUCUUAUUAAAUGAAAGAUGAUUUUUUGUUUUAUGAUUUACGUCCAUGGGAUAUUAGUUGACAUUGUAACUAACACAGGGUUUUGCUUUGUUGUUUUGUUUAUCUAUGAAAUUUUAACAGACAUUUAAGAAUAUCUUACUCUGAUUGAUUUAAUAUUCACUUUAACACUGUUUAACACCAUCGUUUGGAAAGUAUUGACUGGAUGACAUUUAUGGAGACUAAAAUUUUAAAAUAUAAAUACAUUCAGAGUUUUAGGUUGUGUAUUUGUACAUUUAUGGAAAAAAGGUGGAGUCUUUAAAUGGUAUGAUGUCAGUUUAAAGUGCAGAAAUGAAACCAAGGAAGAUCAGAUAGUUACUUAAAUUUGUUAAAAACAGUGUCACUAUCUUUUAAGUCCAAAUUUUUAAAUGUGUCACUUAAUCCUUUAAAGGCUAUGAGUACUGAAAAGAGCUGAGUAAAACAUACUUCACAGAAAAACUGAGAAGUAUGUUUUACUCAGUUAGGUGCAGCUUUGAAACCAUAAAUUUAUCAACAUUUACAAAAAGUUUCAUGAUUUUCAUGUUACUAAUUACUAUAAAAAUACACUCAUAAAAGUACAAAAGUGAAAGUGAAAGCUUGGAAUCAUUAUCAGUUUGUGUAUCACUAAAUAAGAAUCCAUGAUGACUGUUUGCCUUAAAACAUGAGGAAAUGUUUAUUUCCACAAUGUUUAUCAGGUUAUAAAGACUUUGUUAAACCUUUCCCUUGUUGUACAUACAUAUAAUGUUCUUAUUAUAUGGGUUUAUUGGCGGUAAUUUUACAAAAGUAUCCUACUCUUGUCUGAGCCAACAUGUAUGCUACCGGAUAUUUCCAGACCUGGGCCAAAAUAUGUUACAUUGAGUCAUUUGUGUCAUUUUCAAAGGACAACACUGGACAGUACUGUGAAUCAUAUGAAAUCUACAUGAGGACGAGAAUCUUUAUACUAGCUUUUGGUAUUUUUUUUUAAACUGACUUAACAAACACUGUGUCAUAGAUUUUUAAUGCCUUGUUCCAUCUGUGAACAACCCUGUCUCCAAGAAAUUACAUUUACAUGCAACAAAAUUACAAGAAGACAGAAGUGCAGUGCUGACUAAGGAAAUGCUUGUUAUUUAUUGAGUACAGGGUUAGUUCAGGUUUACACAAAGUGAAGGUCAGCCGCACUGAACAGCAUCAGCGCAAGGGGUGCUGAUAUCCUUGUACACAUUCAAUUGGAAAAUUGCAUUUAAGUUACUUUAGCAUUUGUGCAGCUGCUGUGCACUACAAGCCACUUUGCAACCCAUCUUCCUUGCCUAUGGAUUAUUACAUAUGCAGGCUGAAAGAUGACGAGGUCUCAGACAGAAAAACUACUGCAAUGGAAAUAAUCUUCUUUAGGCAAGUCAAAAAAAUGUUGAUAAUGAACUCAUCAGUAACGUGUACUGCCAAUAUAUUUUAUGUUACCACCAAAAUAUUUGGCUUUGGAAAGCCAUAUAUACCUGUACUGGAUACAGCAUUGUAGCAUUGGCACUCUGUGUCAAUAUUUUUAAUGUUAAACAUUUAAAAUCUUGUGUUUCUUACCGCUGAAGCAAAAAAACAAAAUAGUGACACAGCCCAGUGUGAGUCAGUAAGACUGAGAAGACGUAAACCCCAGGCUUUUGGGUCAUGUAAUCGACUCUGAUUUCCUUAUACUGACUGCAGUGAAGUACAUUAUUUUAGUGAUUCAUUCAUUCAGAAAAUGCUUAUUAAUACAUAACCAUAUGGUUUAUGAGACAGGCUUGCUGGCAGAUGUACUGGACAAAAACAGAUUCAUUUUACUUGACCCAGGACUGGAAUUAAGAAUAAUUUUAAGAAGGAAGUGUGUCAAGUUUUUUUUUUCCUACAUUUUUGAGUCUGACUGAUCUAGUCCAGCUUGUACAAAAAAAAAAAAAAAAAAAA